rnacentral:rRNA from 1 species
UACAGAGGAUGCAAGCGUUAUCCGGAAUGAUUGGGCGUAAAGCGUCUGUAGGUGGCUUUUUAAGUCCGCCGUCAAAUCCCAGGCUCAACUCUGGACAGGCGGUGGAAACUACCAAGCUGGAGUACGGUAGGGGCAGAGGGAAAUUUCCGGUGGAGCGGUGAAAUGCGUAGAGAUCGGAAAGAACACCAACGGCGAAAAGCACUCUGCUGGGCCGACACUGACACUGAGAGACGAAAGCUAGGGGAGCGAAUGGG